UUCAGUUUUUCCUUGUCACCAGACGAGAUGGAACAAAUAUGGGCAUUAGAUAAAUAUCCCCGAAUAUGGAUAGAGAAGUGGGCAAGUGAACACAAAGAUUAUCCAUUCCAUGAAGAAUUCUAAAGAACCGUUUUCUUUAUAAAGAACACUUUUACAGUGUUCCAGCUAGGAUUUCAAAAGGGCAGGGUGCCAAUCCUGAAAAAGGGCAUUUAACGCGUGAUAUGAUAAUAUGAAAAGGGCAUGUUUUAAUAAAGAUUAUAAUCAAACA